GGUUGUGGGUCAGUGGCAGAGCAUCAGUUUAGCAUGCAGAUGGUUCCAGGUUCAAUCUCUGAUAUCACCA
rnacentral:tRNA from 1 species